UCAAUUUCUGACCAGUUAAAAUCCAUUUGAGCCAGUUUAAGCUAAUUGCGCAGAGCUGGAGCCUGAGGUCGGUAAAUCCAGGAAGAUGGCCGAAUACUAUGCUGACUCAACACCAAACAAGGAGCCAGAUUUCUUGGAUUCCAGAUUCACUUCUUCCUUGACUCCACCCUGGACCUGUGGUGACUGGAGGCUUUGUGACAUGAUGAGAAAACUGAGGCUCGAUGAGCUUCUGUGACUUGUCCAAGGCCAUGCAGCUAGUUCACAGUAAGGCACAGAAUCAGUUAUAGAAGCACUCCAGGGAAUUCAGAUAUCGUUUUGUGGCCUGGCAAGAUCAGCACCUUUAAUACCUCAGCACCUGCCAGUCAUCAGCCCCUGGUUUUCCUGUUAUCCCGCUGCUCCCUAGAAUGCAGCUACAAAGUAGCCUAAGAGCCAGCACCUUCACGGAAUAGUAAAGAGGAAAGGCCAUUUGAGGACAGAGUGAGAAGACGAUGGUUAUCCACAAUCCAGAAAAAGAAGCCUCACCAGAAACCAAUCCUGACCCUGAGUUUGGGUUUUCAGCUCCUACAACUGUGAGACAAUGAAUGUCUUUUUUACAGCACACAGCCUAUGAUAUCUUGUUGUGGUAGACCAAGGAGACUAAUCUAACUACUCCUUAAUAUUGGGAACAUUACUUAGAAGCAAAUGAUCUUCGAAAAUGGUAAUGUUAUCUGUGUUUGCUAUU